rnacentral:rRNA from 1 species
GUGGGGAAUCUUCCGCAAUGGACGAAAGUCUGACGGAGCAACGCCGCGUGAGUGAUGAAGGUCUUCGGAUUGUAAAGCUCUGUUAAUCGGGACGAAAGAGCCUAGUGUGAAUAAUGCUAGGAAGUGACGGUACCGGAAUAGAAAGCCACGGCUAACUACGUGCCAGCAGCCGCGGUAAUACGUAGGUGGCAAGCGUUGUCCGGAAUUAUUGGGCGUAAAGCGCGCGCAGGCGGAUCUGCCAGUCUGUCUUAAAAGUUCGGGGCUUAACCCCGUGAUGGGAUGGGAACUACAGAUCUAGAGUAUCGGAGAGGAAAGUGGAAUUCCUAGUGUAGCGGUGAAAUGCGUAGAUAUUAGGAAGAACACCAGUGGCGAAGGCGACUUUCUGGACGAUGUCUGACGCUGAGGCGCGAAAGCUAGGGGAGCGAACGGGAUUAGAAACCCGAGUAGUCC